rnacentral:lncRNA from 1 species
CUUACCAGGGCUAGGCAUCUGUGGGCUCCAAGGCACCAUCAUGGUCUGCAGAGUCACUGACAAGCACCUGUUCCAAACUGAUGGGAUUCUUGAUGUUAGCCUUCGACACCCUGAUGCCAUCUCUUCCUAUGCCACUUCUGAUGCAAAGAAGAAAAAAAUACUACAAAAUCCUACAAUUCAAAAGAUUGUGGCCUUCUACACAUCCUUCUCUCCAUUUCUUCUCAUUCCUGGCUCCAGACUUUCUUUGUAAAGUGAAGCAACUCAACAACACAAUUUCUGUCCUUUCUUUCCCCAAGCAAAACUAACAAAUGUUUUAUAUGACACAUGUUUUGAUAUGCACUUUUUCAUACCAGUAAAUAAAUAAUUUUAAAUAUUGAACAAAACCCUCAAUUCAGUUACUUCAGAAUGGCCUUUCAUUAACUGUAUGUUACCUUGAAAUAUCAUUAAAAGACACUAUAAAGUACAAUUAUUAAAAUUCUUUGAUGCCAUGAUACUUGGACCAUUUAUACUACAGCAAUUGUUAGCUGACAGAUCUUCCCUGGGAAAAAAGAUAAAUUUUACUAUCUUCACUUGUAAAAGGUGAUAUAUUUUCAAUAACUGUAGAAUGUGAUUGUCAGCAGUUAGAUUCUAAUGAGACAGAAGAGUAGUAUAAUGUCAUUCAUUCAUAUUUAUGGAAAUCUGUCUUUGCUGCAGACAUGUACUCCAUUUGUACAGGGACAGCAAGGCUCAAAAAACUGGGGCAACUAAUUGUACUGUCUUUUUCAGUAAUAUUUUUCUAUCACUUUCUCUUGAGUCUGAAAGCCCCGUGAUUU